UCUGGCCUACGGGAGGCAGCAGUGAGGAAUAUUGGUCAAUGGGCGGGAGCCUGAACCAGCCAAGCCGCGUGAGGGAAGAAGGUACAGCGUAUCGUAAACCUCUUUUGUCAGGGAACAAAGGCGGGGACUAGUCCCCGGAUGAGGGUACCUGAAGAAAAAGCAUCGGCUAACUCCGUGCCAGCAGCCGCGGUAAUACGGAGGAUGCGAGCGUUAUCCGGAUUUAUUGGGUUUAAAGGGUGCGUAGGCGGUCCGUUAAGUCAGCGGUAAAAUUGCGGGGCUCAACCCCGUCGAGCCGUUGAAACUGG
rnacentral:rRNA from 1 species